rnacentral:rRNA from 1 species
UCGGGAAUUUUGGGCAAUGGGCGAAAGCCUGAUCCAGCAAUGCCGCGUGAAGGAUGAAGUAUUUCGGGUUGUAAAGCACUUUCAGCGAGGAGGAAGGGAGUUGUGUUAAUAGCACAGCUUCUUGACGUUACUCGCAGAAGAAGCACCGGCUAACUCUGUGCCAGCAGCCGCGGUAAUACAGAGGGUGCAAGCGUUAAUCGGAAUUACUGGGCGUAAAGCGCACGUAGGCGGUUUUUUAAGUCAGAUGUGAAAGCCCCGGGCUCAACCUGGGAAUUGCAUUUGAAACUGGAAAACUAGAGUGUGUGAGAGGGGGGUAGAAUUCCAAGUGUAGCGGUGAAAUGCGUAGAGAUUUGGAGGAAUACCAGUGGCGAAGGCGGCCCCCUGGCACAACACUGACGCUCAGGUGCGAAAGCGUGGGGAGCAAACAGGAUUAGAUACCCUCGUAGUCCCUGAGCGGGCUGGCAAGGCGCAU